UACGGAGGGUGCAAGCGUUAUCCGGAUUCACUGGGUUUAAAGGGUGCGUAGGAGGGAAGGUAAGUCAGUGGUGAAAUCUCCGGGCUUAACUCGGAAACUGCCGUUGAUACUAUCUGUCUUGAAUAUGGUGGAGGUGAGCGGAAUAUGUCAUGUAGCGGUGAAAUGCUUAGAUAUGACAUAGAACACCAAUUGCGAAGGCAGCUCGCUACACCUAUAUUGACUCUGAGGCACGAAAGCGUGGGGAUCAAACAGG
rnacentral:rRNA from 1 species